UCCUGUCAGUUCAACACUGCAGGACUCACAUCUGUCAGUCAACACAGCAGAAAGCACAACCACCAUGACUCUCAUCACCAUCCUCAUCUGGAUGCUGACCUGCUGCUGUUUUACAGGAUGCAGCGGUCAGAUGACUGUGACUCAACCUCCAGUAGUGACAUCUACUCCUGGAUCCACUGUCACUCUGACCUGUAGGGCCAGCCAAGCUGUUGCUGGCUGUGGUGAUGGUCAGUGUAUGUUCUGGUAUCAACAGAAAUCUGGACAAACUCCAAAGAUCCUAAUUCGACAUGUGAGCAUAAGACAUUCAGGAACACCAUCUCGAUUUACUGGCAGUGGAAGCAGCUCUGACUUCUCUAUGACCAUCAGUGGAGUUCAGGCUGAAGAUGCAGCAGUUUACUACUGUAAGAGUGUCCAUGCAAUAAACAGUGCUGCAGUGUUCACACAGUGAUUUGUAGUCAUACAAAAACCUCCCUCAGUCAGACUGCAGAGACACUGAGCUGUUACAGCAGGAACUGACUGCAGCUGCUGAAGAGGAA